rnacentral:rRNA from 1 species
GAACCGUCCUAACGUUGUUCGGAUUCACUGGGCUUAAAGGGCGCGUAGGCGGGUGAGCAAGUCCGGGGUGAAAUCUUUCGGCUUAACCGGAAAACUGCCUUGGAUACUGCUCGUCUCGAGGGAGGUAGGGGUCUGCGGAACUUCCGGUGGAGCGGUGAAAUGCGUUGAUAUCGGAAGGAACGCCGGUGGCGAAAGCGGCGGACUGGACCUCUUCUGACGCUGAGGCGCGAAAGCCAGGGGAGAGAACGGGAUUAGAUACCCCGGUAUUCCUGGCCCUAAACGAUGGGUACUAGGUAGUGGACUUAACAUGGGUUCACUGCCGAAGCAAAAGUGGUAAGUACCCCGCCUGGGGAGUAUGGUCGCAAGGCUGAA